rnacentral:rRNA from 1 species
AACUUUUGGCAACGGAUUUCUUGGCUCUUGCAGCGAUGAAGAAUGCAGCGAAUUGUGAUACGUGUCAUGAAUUGCAGAACUCUGAAUGAUAAAUGUUUGAAUCACUA